UGAACGCUAGCUACAGGCUUAACACAUGCAAGUCGAGGGGCAGCGAGAGGAAAGCUUGCUUCCUGUCGGCGACCGGCGCACGGGUGAGUAACGCGUAUCCAACCUUCCCCAUAGUAGAGGAUAGCCCGGCGAAAGUCGGAUUAAUACUCUAUGUUGUGUCAUGAGGACAUCUGAAUAACACUAAAGACUUGUCGCUAUGGGAUGGGGAUGCGUCUGAUUAGGUAGUCGGCGGGGUAACGGCCCACCGAGCCGACGAUCAGUAGGGGUUCUGAGAGGAAGGUCCCCCACAUUGGUACUGAGACACGGACCAAACUCCUACGGGAGGCAGCAGUGAGGAAUAUUGGUCAAUGGGCGCGAGCCUGAACCAGCCAAGUAGCGUGCAGGAUGACUGCCCUAUGGGUUGUAAACUGCUUUUAUGCGGGAAUAAAGUCAGGUACGCGUACCUGUUUGUAUGUACCGCAUGAAUAAGGACCGGCUAAUUCCGUGCCAGCCGCGGC
rnacentral:rRNA from 1 species